AUUUUUGCCCAUUCAUAAGCAUGAUGAUUGGGUGUUCACAUGUUUGUGUGGCAUGUACCUUCCUCAAAUCUUGUUAUGCACUUGGCAUACUACCCAUCUGAUG